GUGUCUCUUCCGCAGCAUAUAUACUGAACAUAUACAGAGAUUAACAUGGCCCUUGCCCAAGGAUGACAUGCAAAUUCGUGAAGCAUUUCAUAUUUUA
ensembl:snRNA U6 U6 spliceosomal RNA